GAGAGAUAUAAAGAAAAAGACAUAUACAUAGAUAGAUUAUCUUUUCAUAAGGUUGAGCGAUCUGAUCUGACAAAUGUUAUAAGUGCUACACUCAUGAACUUUUCAUCCAUCAACUUUGUCUUGCUCGCUAUGCUUAGGGUUAGAGAAGAACAAAUACACUUUAGAUACUGUUGGUGUUUUCCACCAACAGGACCCAUGCACUUGAUCUCUGCCUUGUCUCUAUGAGUAGGUACACUUUGAGCAAAACACGGAGGAGUUUUAUAACUCUCAGACUCUACCAAGUGAAGGACCUGGAUCUACGAGCAUAAACACACUGAGUAGGUUACUGCCAACGCCGCACCUCGAACUGCUGGGCAAACGAAGAACAUGUGUGACACCGUAUCAAGAGGUGCAGACGUCAAGGUCCACACCUGAAUCAAAUGACGCACCUGAAGAAUGAACACGGUGAGAAGUCUUGUUAAGAAGACUUAAAACAUUGAACCCUCGCCGAAAGGUAAGAUCAGUAUUUAUCCGUAUUUAUCCUUUCUGCAUUCCCUUUUCCCUUUAAUUAUUUACUUUCCUUAAAUAGAUUAUUAGUUAAUCAUGCUAUCUUGAAAGAAAAUAAAAAUGUUAAAAAAUACUAAGCCCCAUGUGAGUAUACGAGUGGCAUAAAACUCAUAAGUACCUUCACUGUGGUGGCAUAAAAAUAAAAUAAAUAUUUCUUUUCUGCUUUAUAAAAUAAAAAUAUAAAAACAGGGAGUAAUAUUUAUUGAGGAAGCUCAACAUGAUGAAGGCCAGAUAUUUAUGCUAACACUUAAUUAGUUCCACAAGCUUUGUUGUCUAUUUGAGCUCCACAGAAUUUAAGAAUCAAGAAGACUAGCAGACGGAGGACAUUCUAAUCGCAGUCAGAAUGCUGCUGACUUUCAAAUACACCUCUGCCACCUGCUAGCUACAUCAAGAGAAAUUACGUCAAAAUUCAGCUUGGGGGAGAGCACCCCCAUUUAUCUCGCUAAGUAUUUCUACCUAUCCUUAUACUUAUAUUAUAUUAGAAUAUUAAAAUACAUAAACUAUUAAAAAGCAAAUAAAGAUUUUGUGCUUAUAUAUAUCUUUUACUUAGUGUGUUUAAUAAAUAAAUAAAGUGGCUAUGCUAAUCUGAAUCUUAAUAAUAAAACUCUAGCAUGGAUAUGAUGAAUAGUUGCUCUGCCUAAUUUACAAAUUUGAAGUUCUCUCUCAAGUUUAGACAUAAUUGUUAUAAUUUAAAGCUUGCUCUAGAUCUAAAUUUGUGGGAUAAAAAGUUGAUCUGAAAUCUAAGUUGUUAACGGAUAUGAUAUGGGAAGGUUGAGCUGUUGUUUAUCUGUUCCUAGAGAUGCUAGAAUUUUGGAGAAUUUUAUCUUUGAAACAUCUUUAAAAUAUUGCAUGAUGAGUUCCUGUAUGAUGAAAGUUUAAAUUCCUACCACAGCCAUAUAUACAUGCUUGCUAGACUUUGAGCCACACAUUUACUAUUUACUGCUUAUGAGCAUUGAGUGUGGUCAAGCUAUGUAGACCCUUAGGAGCUUGUCAUGUGGUUAAAUCAAGAUUUCACUUGCACAUUCACUCAUAUAUGCUACUUCUACUCCGGAAGUACCAUCCACUUAUUUCCAUCUCUAGAACCACCCAAAAAUAUUCUACUCCUAAUCCGGGAGAGAAUAACCAAAAAUAUUUCUAUUUUUCCUUGUGAAAUAAAUGAUCAAGUUAUCUUGUUACUACCACUUGCUAUAUUAUCUCAUGAGAUGAGUGCUCUAAAAAAAGAAGGGAGAGAAAAAAUAUACGAGGAAAUAAAAAGGGGAAAGUGCCCGGAACCUCGAAAGAAAAAAAAAGAGUGAGACGAGAGGUAAAAAUGGACAAGUGUCCGACAGUAGAAUUAGGGGUACAGGAUACCCACUUGAGAGGAAAGAAAAAUGAAAGAUAGAGCAUCUUAUUCUCCUCAUAAAGUUUCAAAAAGCAAGGAAGGUAUGUAUCCCCUCAAAAGAGCAAAAGUAGAAUUAGACUUCCACCAUUGUUAUCAUCAUCAUCACCAUACACCAUUCAUUCGCCACACAUGCACAUCUUGAUUUGACUUAUUGACUUGUUUCUCUGGAUCCAUGGUUUGACUAUGCAAUAAAUGUCUUGUAAGUAUGUAUUAGCUGUCUCCCACCUAUGAGCUCCAGAUAUUAAAGCCUUAUUAGAGUAGGGUGAGAUAGAAGGCAAUGUCACUAUGCCUUAUACCACAAAUACCAUAUAUCUUGAGAGAAGGCAUAUACCAUCACUGCCUUGGUAAGGAUCCAGAAAUACCACAAAAGAGAGAUUUAGAGAGUCAUACAAGGAAUCUCUGAGUUUUAUUUGAAAAUCUGCAAAAACUCCAGAGCUAUAGCUAAUCAAGAAUAAGAGACAUGGCACUUGGCUAGACUGUUCUAUCUUUUAACUACUCAAGGCAGAAGUAACGGUUACAAGUCCCAUGGUGAAAGGUAAAGUAAGUAAGUUUUAGUUCUUGACAGUUUACUCUAACUCAGAGAUGAGAUCAUAUUUAAAAGCAUGUGUACCGUCAAAUUUUUA
rnacentral:lncRNA from 1 species